CAAGUAAGACCCCUUGUAGACUACGAGGUUGAUAGGCUGCGUGUGUACGCACGGUGACGUGUUUAGCUUGGCAGUACUAAUAGGUCGAGGGCUUGACCAU
rnacentral:rRNA from 1 species